GAGUCCCGUAUGGAGGUUCUUUGAGUACAAACACCUGCACACGACCAUAAGAUCAAAAUACAACAGCAGCAGCAGCAGCAACAAGAAGCAGAGCAGGAACUGAGAGACCAGUGAUCAGUCCACCAGAUCCUCCUGGACCUGCAGGUAGAAACAGGUGUGAGGUGUCAGCUGUCAGGCGGCACUCGUAUGUUCCAGUGUCAUUAAUCGUCACAUUCUUCAGGAUCAAAGACGCAUCUCCAUCCUUCAUCUGUUUGUCCUGCAGAUCCACCUGGUCCUUAAAGGAUGGAUGCUGGUUGGC